rnacentral:rRNA from 1 species
UAAUACGAAGGGACCUAGCGUAGUUCGGAAUUACUGGGCUUAAAGAGUUCGUAGGUGGUUAAAAAAGUUGGUGGUGAAAUCCCAGAGCUUAACUCUGGAACUGCCAUCAAAACUUUUUAGCUAGAGUAUGAUAGAGGAAAGUAGAAUUUCUAGUGUAGAGGUGAAAUUCGUAGAUAUUAGAAAGAAUACCAAUUGCGAAGGCAACUUUCUGGAUCAUUACUGACACUGAGGAACGAAAGCAUGGGUAGCGAAGAGGAUUAGAUACCCUCGUAGUCCAUGCUGUAAACGAUGUGUGCUAGACGUUGGAAAUAUUUUAUUUCAGUGUCGCAGCAAAAGCAUUAAGCACACCGCCUGGGGAGUACGACCGCAAGGUUA